UAAGGAAUAUUGGACAAUGGUCGCAAGACUGAUCCAGCCAUGCCGCGUGCAGGAAGACGGCCCUAUGGGUUGUAAACUGCUUUUGUACCAGAGAAAACAUAUCUACGUGUAGGUAGCUGAUAGUAUGGUAAGAAUAAGCAUCGGCUAACUUCGUGCCAGCAGCGGAGGUAAGACGAAGGAUGCAAGCGUUAUCCGGAUUCGUUGGGUUUAAAGGGUGCGUAGGCGGGCUUGUAAGUCAGUGGUGAAAUCGCUCAGCUUAACUGAGAAACUGCCAUCGAUACUGCAGGCCUAGAGUAUAGAAGAGGUUGGCGGAAUUUGACAUGUAGUGGUGAAAUACUUAGAUAUGUCAUAGAACACCGAUUGCGAAGGCAGCUAACGAAACUAUAACUGACGCUGAGGCACGAAAGUGCGGGGA
rnacentral:rRNA from 1 species